UACGUAGGGUGCAAGCGUUAAUCGGAAUUACUGGGCGUAAAGCGUGCGCAGGCGGUUCUAUAAGACCGAUGUGAAAUCCCCGGGCUCAACCUGGGAACUGCAUUCGUGACUGUAGAGCUGGAGUGCGGCAGAGGGGGAUGGAAUUCCGCGUGUAGCAGUGAAAUGCGUAGAUAUGCGGAGGAACACCGAUGGCGAAGGCAAUCCCCUGGGCCUGCACUGACGCUCAUGCACGAAAGCGUGGGGAGCAAACAGG
rnacentral:rRNA from 1 species